UACGUAGGGUGCAAGCGUUAAUCGGAAUUACUGGGCGUAAAGCGUGCGCAGGCGGUUCGGAAAGAAAGAUGUGAAAUCCCAGGGCUCAACCCUUGGAACUGCAUUUUUUAACUACCGGACUAGAGUAUGUCAGAGGGAGGUGGAAUUCCACGUGUAGCAGUGAAAUGCGUAGAUAUGUGGAGGAACACCGAUGGCGAAGGCAGCCUCCUGGGAUAAUACUGACGCUCAUGCACGAAAGCGUGGGGAGCAAACAGG
rnacentral:rRNA from 1 species